rnacentral:rRNA from 1 species
AACGAACGCUGGCGGCAGGCUUAACACAUGCAAGUCGAACGCCCCGCAAGGGGAGUGGCAGACGGGUGAGUAACGCGUGGGAAUCUACCCAGAUCUUCGGAACAACCCAGGGAAACUUGGGCUAAUACCGGAUACGCCCUACGGGGGAAAGAUUUAUCGGUUCUGGAUGAGCCCGCGUUGGAUUAGCUAGUUGGUGAGGUAAUGGCUCACCAAGGCUACGAUCCAUAGCUGGUCUGAGAGGAUGAUCAGCCACACUGGGACUGAGACACGGCCCAGACUCCUACGGGAGGCAGCAGUGGGGAAUAUUGGACAAUGGGCGAAAGCCUGAUCCAGCCAUGCCGCGUGAGUGAUGAAGGCCUUAGGGUUGUAAAGCUCUUUUAGUGGGGAAGAUAAUGACGGUACCCACAGAAAAAGCCCCGGCUAACUUCGUGCCAGCAGCCGCGGUAA